rnacentral:rRNA from 1 species
GACGAACGCUGGCGGCGCGCUUAACGCAUGCAAGUCGAGCGAUGAAAUCUUAACAGAACCCUUCGGGGUGAAGAUAAGACGGAUUAGCGGCGGACGGGUGAGUAACACGUGAGUAACCUGCCUUUUACACAGGGAUAGCCUCAGGAAACCGGGAUUAAAACCUGAUGAAACUAUCAAAUCACAUGAUUAAGAAAGUUAAAACUCCGGUGGUAAAAGAUGGACUCGCGUCCCAUUAGCUAGUUGGUGAAGGUAACGGCCCACCAAGGCAACGAUGGGUAGCCGGCCUGAGAGGGUGAACGGCCACAUUGGAACUGAGAAACGGUCCAAACUCCUACGGGAGGCAGCAGUGGGGAAUAUUGCACAAUGGGGGAAACCCUGAUGCAGCGACGCCGCGUGAGCGAAGAAGGCCUUCGGGUCGUAAAGCUCUUUUAUAUGGGAAGAUAAUGACGGUACCAUAAGAAAAAGCCCCGGCUAACUACGUG